rnacentral:miRNA from 1 species
AAGCUUCUUACGGAUCAAGUUGAU